GGGGAAUAUUGCACAAUGGGCGAAAGCCUGACGCAGCGACGCCGCGUGAGCGAAGAAGGCCUUCGGGUCGUAAAGCUCUGUCCUUGGGGAAGAAGGCGAAAGCUUGACGGUACCCAAGAAGAAAGCCCCGGCUAACUACGUGCCAGCAGCCGCGGUAAUACGUAGGGGGCGAGCGUUGUCCGGAAUUACUGGGCGUAAAGGGUGCGUAGGCGGCCUUUUAAGUCAGAUGUGAAAGGCUGCGGCUUAACCGCAGGACUGCAUUUGAAACUGGAAGGCUUGAGUGUCGGAGAGGGUAGUGGAAUUCCCAGUGUAGCGGUGAAAUGCGUAGAUAUUGGGAGGAACACCAGUGGCGAAGGCGACUACCUGGACGAUAACUGACGCUGAGGCACGAAAGCUAGGGGAGCAAAC
rnacentral:rRNA from 1 species